rnacentral:rRNA from 1 species
AGAACGAACGCUGGCGGCAUGCCUAACACAUGCAAGUCGAACGAGACCUUCGGGUCUAGUGGCGCACGGGUGCGUAACGCGUGGGAAUCUGCCCUUAGGUACGGAAUAACAGUGAGAAAUUACUGCUAAUACCGUAUGAUGUCUUCGGACCAAAGAUUUAUCGCCUAGGGAUGAGCCCGCGUAGGAUUAGCUAGUUGGUGGGGUAAAGGCCUACCAAGGCUACGAUCCUUAGCUGGUCUGAGAGGAUGAUCAGCCACACUGGGACUGAGACACGGCCCAGACUCCUACGGGAGGCAGCAGUGGGGAAUAUUGGACAAUGGGCGAAAGCCUGAUCCAGCAAUGCCGCGUGAGUGAAGAAGGCCUUCGGGUUGUAAAGCUCUUUUACCCGGGAAGAUAAUGACUGUACCGGGAGAAUAAGCCCCGGCUAACUCCGCGCCAGCAGCCGC